rnacentral:rRNA from 1 species
GUGAGGAAUAUUGGACAAUGGGUGAGAGCCUGAUCCAGCCAUCCCGCGUGAAGGAUGACGGUCCUACGGAUUGUAAACUUCUUUUGUAUAGGGAUAAACCCAGAUACGUGUAUCUGGCUGAAGGUACUAUACGAAUAAGCACCGGCUAACUCCGUGCCAGCAGCCGCGGUAAUACGGAGGGUGCAAGCGUUAUCCGGAUUUAUUGGGUUUAAAGGGUCCGCAGGCGGGCCGAUAAGUCAGUGGUGAAAUCUCAUAGCUUAACUAUGAAACUGCCAUUGAUACUGUCGGUCUUGAGUAAAUUAGAGGUAGCUGGAAUAAGUAGUGUAGCGGUGAAAUGCAUAGAUAUUACUUAGAACACCAAUUGCGAAGGCAGGUUACCAUGAUUUAACUGACGCUGAGGGACGAAAGCGUGGGGAGCGAACAGGAUUAGAAACCCUAGUAGUCC